AUUGAACGCUGGCGGCAGGCCUAACACAUGCAAGUCGAACGGUAACAGGAAGACGCUUGCUUCUUUGCUGGCGAGUGGCGGGCGGGUGAGUCAUGUCUGGGCAACUUCCUGAUGGAGGGGGAUAACUACUGGAAACGGUAGCUACUACCGCAUAACGUCGCAAGCCCAAAAAGGGGGACCUUCGGGCCUUUUGCCCUCGGCUGUGCCGAGAUGGGAUUAGCUAGUAGGUGGGGUAACGGCUCACCUAGGCGACGGACCCUAGCUGGUCUGAGAGGAAGACCAGCCACACUGGAACGGAGACACGGUCCAGACUCCUACGGGAGGCAGCAGUGGGGAAUAUUGCACAAUGGGCGAAAGCCUGAUGCAGCCAUGCCGCGGGGAGGAAGAAGGCCUUCGGGUUGUAAAGUACUUUCAGCGGGGAGGAAGGGAGUAAAGUUAAUACCUUUACUCAUUGACGUUACCCGCAGAAGAAGCACCGGCUAACUCCGUG
rnacentral:rRNA from 1 species